rnacentral:rRNA from 1 species
UACGGGGGGGGCAAGCGUUGUUCGGAAUUACUGGGCGUAAAGGGGUUGUAGGCGGCCAACUAAGUCCGACGUGAAAUCCCAAGGCUUAACCUUGGAACUGCGUCGGAUACUGGAUGGCUUGAAUUCGGGAGAGGGAUGCAGAAUUCCAGGUGUAGCGGUGAAAUGCGCAGAUAUCAGGAGGAACACCAAUGGCGAAGGCAGCUCGCUGGAACGGAACUGACGCUGAGGCGCGAAAGCGUGGGGAGCGAACAGG